UACGUAGGGCGCGAGCGUUAUCCGGAAUUAUUGGGCGUAAAGAGCUCGUAGGCGGUGUGUCACGUCGGCCGUGAAAACCUGCAGCUUAACUGUGGGCGUGCGGUCGAUACGUGCAUCACUGGAGUUCGGCAGGGGAGACUGGAAUUCCUGGUGUAGCGGUGAAAUGCGCAGAUAUCAGGAGGAACACCGGUGGCGAAGGCGGGUCUCUGGGCCGAUACUGACGCUGAGGAGCGAAAGCGUGGGGAGCAAACAGG
rnacentral:rRNA from 1 species